UGCAAGUCGAACGAACUCUGGUAUUGAUUGGUGCUUGCAUCAUGAUUUACAUUUGAGUGAGUGGCGAACUGGUGAGUAACACGUGGGAAACCUGCCCAGAAGCGGGGGAUAACACCUGGAAACAGAUGCUAAUACCGCAUAACAACUUGGACCGCAUGGUCCGAGUUUGAAAGAUGGCUUCGGCUAUCACUUUUGGAUGGUCCCGCGGCGUAUUAGCUAGAUGGUGAGGUAACGGCUCACCAUGGCAAUGAUACGUAGCCGACCUGAGAGGGUAAUCGGCCACAUUGGGACUGAGACACGGCCCAAACUCCUACGGGAGGCAGCAGUAGGGAAUCUUCCACAAUGGACGAAAGUCUGAUGGAGCAACGCCGCGUGAGUGAAGAAGGGUUUCGGCUCGUAAAACUCUGUUGUUAAAGAAGAACAUAUCUGAGAGUAACUGUUCAGGUAUUGACGGUAUUUAACCAGAAAGCCACGGCUAACUACGUGCCAGCAGCCGCGGUAAUACGUAGGUGGCAAGCGUUGUCCGGAUUUAUUGGGCGUAAAGCGAGCGCAGGCGGUUUUUUAAGUCUGAUGUGAAAGCCUUCGGCUCAACCGAAGAAGUGCAUCGGAAACUGGGAAACUUGAGUGCAGAAGAGGACAGUGGAACUCCAUGUGUAGCGGUGAAAUGCGUAGAUAUAUGGAAGAACACCAGUGGCGAAGGCGGCUGUCUGGUCUGUAACUGACGCUGAGGCUCGAAAGUAUGGGUAGCAAACAGGAUUAGAUACCCUGGUAGUCCAUACCGUAAACGAUGAAUGCUAAGUGUUGGAGGGUUUCCGCCCUUCAGUGCUGCAGCUAACGCAUUAAGCAUUCCGCCUGGGGAGUACGGCCGCAAGGCUGAAACUCAAAGGAAUUGACGGGGGCCCGCACAAGCGGUGGAGCAUGUGGUUUAAUUCGAAGCUACGCGAAGAACCUUACCAGGUCUUGACAUACUAUGCAAAUCUAAGAGAUUAGACGUUCCCUUCGGGGACAUGGAUACAGGUGGUGCAUGGUUGUCGUCAGCUCGUGUCGUGAGAUGUUGGGUUAAGUCCCGCAACGAGCGCAACCCUUAUUAUCAGUUGCCAGCAUUAAGUUGGGCACUCUGGUGAGACUGCCGGUGACAAACCGGAGGAAGGUGGGGAUGACGUCAAAUCAUCAUGCCCCUUAUGACCUGGGCUACACACGUGCUACAAUGGAUGGUACAACGAGUUGCGAACUCGCGAGAGUAAGCUAAUCUCUUAAAGCCAUUCUCAGUUCGGAUUGUAGGCUGCAACUCGCCUACAUGAAGUCGGAAUCGCUAGUAAUCGCGGAUCAGCAGCCGU
rnacentral:rRNA from 1 species